rnacentral:rRNA from 1 species
AGUCGAACGAUGAACCUCCUUCGGGAGGGGAUUAGUGGCGAACGGGUGAGUAACACGUGGGCAAUCUGCCCUGCACUCUGGGACAAGCCCUGGAAACGGGGUCUAAUACCGGAUACAACCACUAGGGGCAUCCCUUGGUGGUGGAAAGCUCCGGCGGUGCAGGAUGAGCCCGCGGCCUAUCAGCUUGUUGGUGAGGUAACGGCUCACCAAGGCGACGACGGGUAGCCGGCCUGAGAGGGCGACCGGCCACACUGGGACUGAGACACGGCCCAGACUCCUACGGGAGGCAGCAGUGGGGAAUAUUGCACAAUGGGCGCAAGCCUGAUGCAGCGACGCCGCGUGAGGGAUGACGGCCUUCGGGUUGUAAACCUCUUUCAGCAGGGAAGAAGCGCAAGUGACGGUACCUGCAGAAGAAGCGCCGGCUAACUACGUGCCAGCAGCCGCGGUAAUACGUAGGGCGCGAGCGUUGUCCGGAAUUAUUGGGCGUAAAGAGCUCGUAGGCGGCUUGUCGCGUCGGUUGUGAAAGCCCGGGGCUUAACCCCGGGUCUGCAGUCGAUACGGGCAGGCUAGAGUUCGGUAGGGGAGAUCGGAAUUCCUGGUGUAGCGGUGAAAUGCGCAGAUAUCAGGAGGAACACCGGUGGCGAAGGCGGAUCUCUGGGCCGAUACUGACGCUGAGGAGCGAAAGCGUGGGGAGCGAACAGGAUUAGAUACCCUGGUAGUCCACGCCGUAAACGGUGGGCACUAGGUGUGGGCAACAUUCCACGUUGUCCGUGCCGCAGCUAACGCAUUAAGUGCCCCGCCUGGGGGAGUACGGCCGCAAGGCUAAAACUCAAAGGAAUUGACGGGGGGCCCGCACAAGCGGCGGAGCAUGUGGCUUAA